rnacentral:rRNA from 1 species
UACAGAGGGUGCGAACGUUGUUCGGAAUCACUGGGCAUAAAGCGCACGUAGGCGGCACCGCAAGUGUGGGAUGAAAUCCCACGGCUUACCCGUGGAACUGCCUGGCAGACUGCGGUGCUAGAGGUUGGUAGGGGAGAGCGGAACUCUUGGUGGAGCGGUGAAAUGCGUAGAUAUCAAGAGGAACACCGGUGGCGAAGGCGGCUCUCUGGUCCAAUCCUGACGCUGAGGUGCGAAAGCUAGGGGAGCAAACGGG